GGAGAGCUGGCCGAGUGGCUGAAGGCGCGCCCCUGCUAAGGGCGUAUAGGCUUACCCCUAUCGAGGGUUCGAAUCCCUCGCUCUCCGCCA
rnacentral:tRNA from 1 species